GUAGAUAUAGUUUAACAAAAACGUUAGAUUGUGAUUCUAGAGACAGAGGUUAAACCCCUCUUAUCCACC
rnacentral:tRNA from 1 species